rnacentral:rRNA from 1 species
AACGCUAGCUACAGGCUUAACACAUGCAAGUCGAGGGGCAGCAUGAACUUAGCUUGCUAAGUUUGAUGGCGACCGGCGCACGGGUGAGUAACGCGUAUCCAACCUUCCGUACACUCAGGGAUAGCCUUUCGAAAGAAAGAUUAAUACCUGAUGGUAUGAUGAGAUUGCAUGAAAUCAUCAUUAAAGAUUCAUCGGUGUACGAUGGGGAUGCGUUCCAUUAGAUAGUAGGCGGGGUAACGGCCCACCUAGUCGACGAUGGAUAGGGGUUCUGAGAGGAAGGUCCCCCACAUUGGAACUGAGACACGGUCCAAACUCCUACGGGAGGCAGCAGUGAGGAAUAUUGGUCAAUGGGCGCGAGCCUGAACCAGCCAAGUAGCGUGAAGGAUGAAGGUCCUACGGAUUGUAAACUUCUUUUAUAAGGGAAUAAAGUCACCUACGUGUAGGUGUUUGUAUGUACCUUAUGAAUAAGCAUCGGCUAACUCCGUGCCAGCAGCCGCGGUAAUACGGAGGAUGCGAGCGUUAUCCGGAUUUAUUGGGUUUAAAGGGAGCGUAGACGGGUCGUUAAGUCAGCUGUGAAAGUUUGAGGCUCAACCUUAAAAUUGCAGUUGAUACUGGCGUCCUUGAGUACGGUUGAGGCAGGCGGAAUUCGUGGUGUAGCGGUGAAAUGCAUAGAUAUCACGAAGAACUCCGAUUG